ensembl:lncRNA
GCAGGUAGCCUAGUGGUUAGAGUGUAGAGGAGGCAGGUAGCCUAGUGGUUAGAGUGUACAGGUGGCAGGUAGCCUAGUGGUUAGAGUGUAGAGGUGGCAGGUAGCCUAGUGGUUAGAGUGUAGAGGUGGCAGGUAGCCUAGUGGUUAGAGUGUACAGGUGGCAGGUAGCCUAGUGGUUAGAGUGUACAGGUGGCAGGUAGCCUAGUGGUUAGAGUGUACAGGUGGCAGGUAGCCUAGUGGUUAGAGUGUAGAGGUGGCAGGUAGCCUAGUGGUUAGAGUGUAGAGGUGGCAGGUAGCCUAGUGGUUAGAGUGUAGAGGAGGCAGGUUAGCCUAGUGGUUAGAGUGUACAGGUGGCAGGUAGUCUAGUGGUUAGAGUGUAGAGGUGGCAGGUAGUCUAGUGGUUAGAGUGUAGAGGUGGCAGGUAGUCUAGUGGUUAGAGUGUAGAGGUGGC